UACAGAGGUCCCAAGCGUUGUUCGGAUUCACUGGGCGUAAAGGGUGCGUAGGCGGUCGGGUAAGUCUGAUGUGAAAUCUCCAAGCUCAACUUGGAAAUGGCAUCGGAUACUAUUCGGCUCGAGGAAUGGAGGGGAGACUGGAAUACUUGGUGUAGCAGUGAAAUGCGUAGAUAUCAAGUGGAACACCAGUGGCGAAGGCGAGUCUCUGGACAUUUCCUGACGCUGAGGCACGAAAAGCUAGGGGAGCAAACGGG
rnacentral:rRNA from 1 species